CACUCAAUAUGUCCAAAGUUUACCUGUGGUGCAGAAAGCUAAUGAAGUCAUCACUGAGUUCCAUGAGGCUGUUGCAGCUGCCCCACUGUAUAGGAGAUUGUCUGGAGCUUUUGUGGAACUAGGCGAUGCCAUUUAUCAACAACCAGUGUGAGUA